rnacentral:misc_RNA from 1 species
GCUUGCUGAAAAUCUUCAACUUGCGUUUUAUUCCAGUAUCAAACACGCGGAGCACUAACAUCGGAAAGGUAUAAAUAUAAACAAACCCUUACUUACCUUGAAUUUCCCAUUAAAAUGCUCAGACAAUCUACAGCCAAAAUACAAUCACCAAAAAGGCGCUGUACUUGAUCUUUGCGCCAAUAGGUGAUGAAAUCCCUUGCUUAAUCCUCAGAACUCUCGUAAUACUCUUGUAAUAAUGCAAAUUCCACCCCACCAAAAAAAGACAGAUUUUUUUCCUGUUUUCCGUAGUAAAGGCAAUUCAAAAGAUUGAGAAAACUUUGUUGCUU